rnacentral:rRNA from 1 species
AUUGAACGCUGGCGGCAGGCUUAACACAUGCAAGUCGAGCGGUAACAGAGAGUAGUUUACUAUUCUGCUGACGAGCGGCGGACGGGUGAGUAAUGCCUAGGAAUCUGCCUAGUAGUGGGGGAUAACUUGCCGAAAGGUAAGCUAAUACCGCAUACGUCCUACGGGAGAAAGGAGGGGACUCUUCGGAGCCUUUCGCUAUUAGAUGAGCCUAGGUCGGAUUAGUUAGUUGGUGAGGUAAUGGCUCACCAAGACCGCGAUCCGUAACUGGUCUGAGAGGAUGAUCAGUCACACUGGAACUGAGACACGGUCCAGACUCCUACGGGAGGCAGCAGUGGGGAAUAUUGGACAAUGGGGGAAACCCUGAUCCAGCCAUGCCGCGUGUGUGAAGAAGGUCUUAGGAUUGUAAAGCACUUUAAGUUGGGAGAAGGGCAGUUAACUAAUAUUUGACUGUUUUUGACGUUACCGACAGAAUAAGCACCGGCUAACUUCGUGCCAGCAG